UGCAGUCGAGCGGAUGACGGGAGCUUGCUCCUUGAUUCAGCGGCGGACGGGUGAGUAAUGCCUAGGAAUCUGCCUGGUAGUGGGGGACAACGUUUCGAAAGGAACGCUAAUACCGCAUACGUCCUACGGGAGAAAGCAGGGGACCUUCGGGCCUUGCGCUAUCAGAUGAGCCUAGGUCGGAUUAGCUAGUUGGUGAGGUAAUGGCUCACCAAGGCGACGAUCCGUAACUGGUCUGAGAGGAUGAUCAGUCACACUGGAACUGAGACACGGUCCAGACUCCUACGGGAGGCAGCAGUGGGGAAUAUUGGACAAUGGGCGAAAGCCUGAUCCAGCCAUGCCGCGUGUGUGAAGAAGGUCUUCGGAUUGUAAAGCACUUUAAGUUGGGAGGAAGGGCAGUAAGUUAAUACCUUGCUGCUUUGACGUUACCGACAGAAUAAGCGCCGGCUAACUCUGUGCCAGCAGCCGCGGUAAUAC
rnacentral:rRNA from 1 species